AUUGAACGCUGGCGGCAUGCCUAACACAUGCAAGUCGAGCGAGAUAAAUGUGAGUGGAGACUUCGGUCAAAGCAAUCAUUUUGAAAGCGGCGGACGGGUGAGUAACGCGUGAGCAAUCUGCCCCAUACAAAGGGAUACCCACUGGAAACGGUGAUUAAUACCUUAUAAGACCACGAAGUCGCCUGGCUUAGUGGCCAAAGAUUUAUCGGUAUGGGACGAGCUCGCGUCUGAUUAGCUAGUUGGUGAGGUAAUGGCUCACCAAGGCGACGAUCAGGAGCCAACCUGAGCGGGUGAACGGCCACACUGGAACUGAGACACGGUCCAGACUCCUACGGGAGGCAGCAGUGGGGAAUAUUGCACAAUGUGCGCAAGCCUGAUGCAGGAACGCCGCGUGAAUGAUGAAGGCCGUCGGGUCGUAAAGUUCUGUCCUAAGGGAAGAAUACAGUGACGGUACCUUAGGAGGAAGCCCCGGCUAACUACGUGCCAGCCGCCGCGGUAA
rnacentral:rRNA from 1 species